GACGAACGCUGGCGGCGUGCCUAAUACAUGCAAGUAGAACGCUGAAGGAGGAGCUUGCUUCUCUGGAUGAGUUGCGAACGGGUGAGUAACGCGUAGGUAACCUGCCUGGUAGCGGGGGAUAACUAUUGGAAACGAUAGCUAAUACCGCAUAAUAGCAGUUAUUGCAUGAUAACUGUUUGAAAGGUGCAAUUGCACCACUACCAGAUGGACCUGCGUUGUAUUAGCUAGUUGGUGGGGUAACGGCUCACCAAGGCGACGAUACAUAGCCGACCUGAGAGGGUGAACGGCCACACUGGGACUGGGACACGGCCCAGACUCCUACGGGAGGCAGCAGGAGGGAAACUUCGGCAAUGGACGGAAGGCUGACCGAGCAACGCCGCGGGAGUGAAGAAGGUUUUCGGAUCGUAAAGCUCUGUUGUAAGGGAAGAACGAGUGUGAGAGUGGAAAGUUCACACUGUGACGGUAUCUAACCAGAAAGGGACGGCUAACUACGUG
rnacentral:rRNA from 1 species